GAUGAACGCUGGCGGCGUGCCUAAUACAUGCAAGUCGAACGAACAGACGAGGCGCUUGUUGGUCUGACGUGAGCGGCAGAGGGGAGAGAAACGCGUGGAUAACGCACCUAUCAGUCUGGGAAAACUACGGAAAACGGGCGAUAAUCCGGGAGGAGAUCCUGAACCGCGGGGGUGGAUGGUGAGAGUCGGCGGUUCGGGAUGGUAUCGAGGGUUAUGAGCUUGUUGGGGGGGUAGUGGCGUUCAAAGGUUUCGAAGGGUAGGCGGCGUGGGAGGGGGAACGGCCACAUUGGGACUGAGAUACGGACCAGACGCCUACGGGAGGCAGCAGGGGGGAAUAUUGCAGAAUGGGCGGAAGCCUGAUGCAGCAACGCCGCGUGCGGGAUGACGGCCUUCGGGUUGUAAACCGCUUUCGCCUGUGACGAAGCGUGAGUGACGGUAAUGGGUAAAGAAGCACCGGCUAACUACGUG
rnacentral:rRNA from 1 species